rnacentral:misc_RNA from 1 species
CGAAAUGCGAUAAGUAAUGUGAAUUGCAGAAUUCAGUGAAUCAUCGAAUCUUUGAACGCACCUUGCGCUCCUUGGUAUUCCUUGGAGCAUGCCUGUUUGAGUAUCAUGAAAUCUUCAAAGUAAAUCUUUUGUUAACUCAAUUGGUUUCUACUUUGGUAUUGGAGGUCUUUGCAGCUUCAUACCUGCUCCUCUUUGUUCAUUAGCUGGAUCUCAGUGUUAUGCUUGGUUCCACUCGGCGUGAUAAGUUAUCUAUCGCUGAGGACACUGUAAAAGGUGGCCAAGGUAAAUGCAGAUGAACCGCUUCUAAUAGUCCAUUGACUUGGACAAUACUUUUAUGAUCUGAUCUCAAAUCAGGUAGGACUACCCGCUGAACUUAAGC